rnacentral:rRNA from 1 species
CAGCAGCCGCGGUAAUACGUAGGUGGCAAGCGUUGUCCGGAAUUAUUGGGCGUAAAGGGCUCGCAGGCGGUUUCUUAAGUCUGAUGUGAAAGCCCCCGGCUCAACCGGGGAGGGUCAUUGGAAACUGGGAAACUUGAGUGCAGAAGAGGAGAGUGGAAUUCCACGUGUAGCGGUGAAAUGCGUAGAGAUGUGGAGGAACACCAGUGGCGAAGGCGACUCUCUGGUCUGUAACUGACGCUGAGGAGCGAAAGCGUGGGGAGCGAACAGGAUUAGAUACCCGCGUAGUCCCUGUCUCUUAUAU